GCUUGUUCCUCUGGCCCAUAUAAUACAAUUGGAAUUCUAUGGAGAAGGUUAGCAUCACCCUUUCACAAGGAUGACAAACAAAUUCUUAAAACAUUCUAUAUUUAA